AGGUGGUGGAACCACCUUGGCAUCUCAUCCAUACGCCUUAGGAUUGCACAGCAAGUGACAUUGUUCAUAGGCCACAUUCAAACCAAAUGUUCAAAGCAGUAUGAUGCUACUUUAAACCAUCACGGCUUCCCCCAAAUAAUUGUGGGAGCUUUGGUUUGUUAAGGGUGCUGAGAGUUGCAGGGAGACCCCUAUUCCCCUCUCAGAGCUACAAUUCUGAGAGUUCCCUGUGGAGAUGGAUGGACGGAUGUUUAAGCCACUCUGGGAACUGUAACUUUCUGAGGGGAAUAGGGGUUUGCUAACAACUCUUAGCCACCCUUACCAAAACUACAGAUCCCAGGAUUACCUGCUGAGAAGCAGCCAUUUAACCUUUUGCAGCUUGUAGCACAAAUGUACCCUGCCUGUGAUACGUUGAUUCCAUUCAGAAGAAAAUACAAAAGUACUGAUUAGUCACAAAUAUCAAAUUACAUCUUUUCUGUAAUAUGCACAGAAAAACGGUGUUCUGAUGCAGUAGACAGGGCUGUAGCCAACCAAAUUCUACUCGCUGAUGAGCCUAAGUUAGUCACGUCAAUCAAUUUCAAUGAGUCUACAGUGGUACCUCUGGUUAUAAACUUAAUUCAUUCCGGAGGUCCGUUCUUAAGCUGAAACCAUUAUUAUCCUGAGGUGCACUUUCACUAAUGGGGCCUACCACUGCGCGUGCGACUCUGGUGCGCGAUUUCCGUUCGCAUCCUGGGGCAAAGUUCGCAACUUCCGGGUUUGCGGAAUUCGUAACGUAAGGUUACCAGACUUUCCCGGGGACAGUCCCCAGAUUUACAAAUCAGUCCCCAUACAAAAUCCAUUGAAGUUGAAAAGUGUCCCUGGAUUCAUUGAAAAAAAUCUGGUAACCUUAUCGUAACCUGAAGCUUUUGUAACCAGAAGUCUUUGUAACCAGAGGUACCACUGUACUCUGAAGAGUAUUAAUACUUGAUACACCCCUGAUUGUUAUGAUCCUGUCCUUGGAAGUUGAAGGAUAUGUUGUAACAAGCUACCAGGAACCUACUCAGGAUUCACUGGAAUAAACAGGCAUUUCUCCAGAGCUCAGCUGAGCUCUUAGAUAACUCCCUCCUAUUGAUUUCAGGGAUGCUUCUACAGAACUGCAGCAAGGAGGUGCCAGUUCUUUGUACAACAUUGGGUUGCCAGCUGCACUUUUAAGAGCAGUAGUUAUAAUAUCAAUGUCUCUAUCUCCAUCCUGUGAAAAGUCUCACCUGUUAACUUCUGUGGAUCCAGUUGUUGUUAAAAGACACAAGAACAGAACAGACCUAGGGGUGGGAGUGGGGUAGGUCAGUUGACAACUGUAGGUGGGUAUUCUGAACACCAAGUCUUAUUGAUGCAGCUAAAGUUGAGUCUCCAGAUCCAGUCAUCUCUUUUUCCCAAAUCUCCCCAAAAGCUAUUAUUGGUCUACGUUACCUAUGCAGAACAAUUGCUGCACCUGCAGAGAAACCUGCCACUGUAAAAUGCAUUUAAUUAACAUCUUUUCUACUUUUAUGGCACUCUGAAUAAAAAAAAAGACUACGUCCUAAGGCCAUCAUUUUUGUAUGUAAGAUGCCUGUUGAAUUGUAUAGUACUGUAUACACUUAAUAUUGUAUAACUUCCCUUGCCCUUACCUCAAGAUUUUUGCAAAACUGAAGAUCAUUCUGUGAGUUUAUAAACAAUUUCUUUGCUGUUUAUUAUGUCACAGACAUUCCUAUAAAGUCAAAGAUCAAA